CAAGUACAUGUAGUGCAGUGGCUGAUGGGAACUGGAGUCCAGAAUUUCCUGAUACAUGACAGUUUGGAGUUAUCAUUACAUUUCAGAGGCAGAUACAACUGGGUAUGGUCUACAUAACAAUGAUAUGCUACACUGAGAGUUUAAUCCCAAAGGGAGCAUAUAUAGAGAAAACAUCACAGGGCCAAGACAAGAACCUCGAGGAACCCCAGAUGAGAUAGGCUGAGAGCAGGAAAUAGAGCUCACUAAUUCCACAGCAAAGGUUCUCCUAUAUAAAUAGGAUGAGAACCACUUUUCACCGUACUUUCCACCGUACUUUUCAGCAGGAAUGGACAGAGGAAUUCGCCUUUGUGGAGAGAGCAGGUUCUGCAGUGUGUCUAAUAUGCAAUGAUAAAAUUGCAUCGAUGAAACGGUCAAAUAUAAAGCGGCACUUCGACACACGCCAUACUACAUAGCGGGCUUCACAUCUAAUCAAGCCAGACACUUCACCCAGAAAACACGGAGGCUACAGCCAAAUAGCUGCAGUCCAGCUCCCGGUCACCAUCGAACAUAUAGUGAAUGACAACCUGAUGGUGACACUCACUUACAGAGAUAGGAGCUACACCCGGGUUUUGCUCAAUUGCAACAAACAGUGAGAGUGUUUCAUUACUAUUAUUUUGCUUUAAACGCACUAAGGCCAUAAGCUAAGCUAAUUGGCGCUUGUGCUUUUGCCGCAGUUAGACGGCUGAGCACACACUGCUUCUCCUUCAUCUCGUAAGAUAUUAUGCAUAUCUACACUGGUGAAUUUUAUAUCCUCUCUCUCCAAAAUGUUUUAUUUUAGCAGCAAGAAAACUUGUUUGUUGUCAAAAGUGGAAUGUUAGUUGUACCACCCAUGUUACUAUGGCAACCAGUAAUAAGGACGCCUAACUGCGACUUCAUAGUACAGUGACUGGUGAGUUGCAGUGAUAAAAUUGAUGUAUGUGUGAAGGCAGCAUUAUGCAGCGCAGUGGCCGGCACAUAUUAGAAGAUCUUUACAGAGGAAGCUGACAGUCGCAUCAUUGACAUCAUGUUUCGAGUUUCGUGCUCGGCCACGGUUAGCGAUCACACUAGAUGUGUACCGUGUGUGAGUCCAACUCUUCAAGCGGGCCUGGGCAUGGUAUGGAGCGAUCACCACCAAACUGGACUUUGGGGGUCAAACGUGCUCAGGCGUGGUACUGAUCGUCUAGUGUGAGUACACCCUUAAUCGAGUAAUGGGGUCUCCCAAAACGUGUAUAUUUAUGUUCAAUUAACUUAGUGCUCAUGUCAACUGUACUUCAAUUGUAAGGUUCACUUAAAUUUUUACUUAAAUUACAGUGCAUUACCAGAUACAUCACUGAAUUUAUUUUUAUAUAAACAUAUGUUACAUUACGAUUGUAUAGAAGCUACUACAGUAUAUGUAACAGGAAUUAUUCAGAAACACUGGAAUAUACUCCAGUAAAUCAAAAAUACACAAAUUUCAGAGAGAAUAUUCAAAAUCGCAUCAUGAAACCAUGGUCAUUCCAAGAAUGUGACAAAAAGUAUAUAUAUUCACUACACAUACUGUAUAUAGACACACGUAUGCAUGUAAGAUAUCGAUCAAGCAGACUGAAAAACGUGUGCACAAAAAGAUUAACAUUAACAUUUACAUUUACGGCAUUUGGCAGAUGCUCUUAUCCAGAGUGUGUUACAGAAGUGCUCCGAAGUCUCUCUCAGAAAACACAUCCUCAUGCUAGUUCACUAGGACAGGGACUAAGAGUACCAUCAGUCUAAACACAGUGUUGAGAGACAGGAGACUUCAAAUUUCACCACAAAAGUCCCAAACAAGAUCAUGUAUAGCAGUCUUCUUACACAAAAGAGGAUGAUGUGUCUGCCAUGUCAACACAGAAUUUGGCAUCUGACUCCAUUUCCCAGCAUGCACCUCCGACAACAAAUAUGGCUACCAUCGAC